GUUCUCUCUCUCUCCUCAGACCAUUCACGUGGCCAUCGUGUGUGCCGGGUACAACGCCAGUCGUGAUGUGGUGACACUCGUCAAGUCAGUCCUUUUUCACAGGCGAAACCCUCUCCACUUCCACAUCAUAACGGACUCUACAGCCCAGCAGAUCCUCGCCUCUCUGUUCCGUACCUGGAUGGUCCCUGCUGUCAGGGUGGACUUCUACGAUGCAGACGAACUCAAGGCUGAGGUGUCGUGGAUCCAACAAGCAUUACUCCGGUAUCUACGGUCUGAUGAAGCUGGUGCUCACCAAGACCUUACCCCCAGACCUGCAGAAAGUCAUCGUCCUGGACACAGAUAUCACCUUCGCUACGGACAUCGCUGAGCUCUGGGCCGUCUUCCACAAGUUCAAA